rnacentral:rRNA from 1 species
UACGUAGGGUGCAAGCGUUGUCCGGAAUUAUUGGGCGUAAAGAGCUCGUAGGCGGCUUGUCGCGUCGGCUGUGAAAACCUGGGGCUCAACCCCGGGCGUGCAGCCGAUACGGGCAAGCUAGAAUUCGGUAGGGGAGACUGGAAUUCCUGGUGUAGCGGUGAAAUGCGCAGAUAUCUGGAGGAACACCGGUGGCGAAGGCGGCAUCCUGGACCGACAUUGACGCUGAGGAGCGAAAGCGAGGGGAGCAAACGGG